rnacentral:rRNA from 1 species
GAUGAACGCUGGCGGCGUGCCUAAUACAUGCAAGUCGAGCGAACAGACGAGGAGCUUGCUCCUCUGACGUUAGCGGCGGACGGGUGAGUAACACGUGGAUAACCUACCUAUAAGACUGGGAUAACUUCGGGAAACCGGAGCUAAUACCGGAUAAUAUAUUGAACCGCAUGGUUCAAUAGUGAAAGACGGUUUUGCUGUCACUUAUAGAUGGAUCCGCGCCGCAUUAGCUAGUUGGUAAGGUAACGGCUUACCAAGGCAACGAUGCGUAGCCGACCUGAGAGGGUGAUCGGCCACACUGGAACUGAGACACGGUCCAGACUCCUACGGGAGGCAGCAGUAGGGAAUCUUCCGCAAUGGGCGAAAGCCUGACGGAGCGACACCGCGUGAGUGAUGAAGGUCUUCGGAUCGUAAAACUCUGUUAUUAGGGAAGAACAAAUGUGUAAGUAACUAUGCACGUCUUGACGGUACCUAAUCAGAAAGCCACGGCUAACUACGUG